rnacentral:rRNA from 1 species
UACGGGGGGAGCAAGCGUUGUUCGGAUUUACUGGGCGUAAAGGGCGCGUAGGCGGCGCAACAAGUCACUUGUGAAAUCUCCGGGCUUAACCCGGAGCGGCCAAGUGAUACUGUCGUGCUAGAGUGCGGAAGGGGCUACUGAAAUUCUCGGUGUAGCGGUGAAAUGCGUAGAUAUCGAGAGGAACACCUGCGGCGAAGGCGGGUAGCUGGGCCGACACUGACGCUGAGGCGCGAAAGCCAGGGGAGCGAACGGG